UAGUGGGGAAGCAACUACAAAUCCAGGACAUUGUUUUUUUGCUUGGGUGCAUGGUUUGGUAACCACUAGCAACUCUUACUGAUUGUAGCUGUGGGGAUUCUAACUGCUUUUAUCUCCGGUGAUCUGUUGUGAUAUAUCUGCAGUCAGAAUCUCUUCGGUUACAUGAUUUUCUCAGGAUGAUAGUUGUCUUCCCCCUCAAUUUAUGCGCUGUGAAACGCGGAGUAGCAUGAAGACAGAAGUUUCUCUUUCUAUGUGUGGAUUGCCUUAUUAGUUGGUACUCCGCAAGUACUUGAGACUGCGCUAUUUAUGCACUAGGAUGAUAGCUUGGCAGCUUAUAUAACCAUGUUUUGUUUCCUUUCUCA